rnacentral:rRNA from 1 species
GAGCCUGCGGCCGAUUAUUAAUCCUAGUUGGCGGGGUAACGGCCCACCAAGGGUACGAUCGGUAGCUGGUCUGAGAGGACGAUCAGCCACACUGGAACUGAGACACGGUCCAGACUCCUACGGGAGGCAGCAGUGGGGAAUAUUGCGCAAUGGGCGAAAGCCUGACGCAGCCAACCCGCGUGGGUGAUGAAGGCCUUCGGGUUGUAAAGCCCUGUCGUGAGGGAAGAAUACUGACGGUACCUCACAAGAAAGCGCCGGCUAACCCCGUGCCAGCAGCCGCGGUAA